CCAGCACCGCAUCCGACUCUGCCAGUCUGUCGUGCACUGACUGUACUGUCGCUCUGUUCACAGAGUCCCCAAAAAAAGUGACCUCAGGCUUCAGUAUCCCUCCACAGAACUCACAGGAGGGAACUCUGAAAUGGAGGACCUGCUCGUCCUCUAAGAAGACAUCACCGUCCGGAGCCACGGCGCCAGCCUGCGCUCUCCAGUCCGGGUUUAGUGCUAAAAAUCGCUUCUGGAGUUCCUCCCUGGCGGAGAUGGUACCACAGCCUAGACACAUCACCCUGAGGACACACAUAUGAGCAUCAAUUAUUCAUCUUUAAACACAUUUUACUAGAUAGGCAUGUGGAUGGUGACUCAAAGGGUCAGGUGGGUUACCCAGAUGAAAACUAUACAAGCAACAAUAUGUAACAGUUAUAGUCUUUUUAAAUAAAUCCUGGACAAACUAAAAAUACUGACAACUAUUAGAGCUGGUUUACGUUUGUCAUAUGUGUCAGCGGAUGCUUUCUUGCCUGUGGGAACAGCCGUGGAGCUCGGUCAUUGCUUUCUGUCCUGCCUUUGAAUGGAGAGCAUCCACAUUUUGUGUAACCAGCCAGUGCAGCUUGCCUCUCGCCUCCCACCGCUGCAGGACCUUGUGUGCGGAGUUGGGCUGACGGGAGGAGAACUGCGGCCAACCGACAAAGUUUCUGGCCCAGUAGCGCUGACGAGACUUUGCACUGCGGACAAACUCUGCAUGCUGCAUGGGUCGUCUGUCGGUGCGAGCGUACAGCCCGACACCCUCCGAGCGGUAAUCAGGGAUCCCUGACUCUGUGGAGAGUCCUGCCCCAGUGAUCACAAACAGGCGUCUGGCUCGGGACACAAACUCCUGCAGUAGCUCCAGGGAGUGGGCAUCAGUGGUGCUGCAGGGGGGGACAAAGCUCAACACACCUGCAGGGGCUGAGAAUGCCCUCCUCAUGGGUGCUGCUGUGUGUAGUGUGAGGAUCCGCCAUGGCAGUCUCAUCUACAGCAAGACAAACAGAACUGAUGAUUGUAAAUGAGCCCUCCUCCUCUCCUUCAGGUAAUACAGAAAAAUAUGUCUGAAGAACUUUACACCAACAUCAACAACUUUAAUCUCUGCUGCGAACAAGAUGAUACCAGUGAUGGUUUACAGUCGUCAGAUGUGGACGAAUCAAGCUUGUGGAUGAAGGAUUGAGGAGGGAAAGGAUGGAGCGGUAGUCCAUGUGGCUUGUGUGGACAAAACACUGAGUUGCAUCUUUGAACAGCAGAUCACUUUCUCCAUAUUGCAGAGACUCAAAGAGCUUGAACUCUGUCUUUGGGUUGGCAGUCAAGGUUUCCUACAAGUAUUCAUCAGAAGAAGCAAAGAACUGGAUCUCUGGCAAAAUGUUUGCUGCCGCCAAUCUGGUUGCGACUGGUGCUGCUUUUGGACCUCAAUAAUGUUGUGCCAACUGAGAUGUGCCCAGAGUACAAUAUAACCAAAACCUGGCAUCAAA